CAGGGCCAGCAUUGCCUAUGCGCUGCGGCUAAAGCGUCACCGCGGUCUCCAUCCUGGGCCUCCUACUGUUGCUGGGGACCUGUGUACUGGCAGAGAGGAUCAGAAUUCACUGACAAAUUAAGGAGCCAUCUGGGCGUCAUUUUCUGCAGAAAGAAGAUUUAGCUGACAAAGUCACAGCGAUUUCAUCUCUCACAGUUGAAGAGUACCUAUGAAAAAAAUUACAGACAU